UGAGUCCGAGGAACUAAGGUUCCAAAGUGAUGCGAGUCAUACUUCCCAGAAAAGCCCGAACCACGUUAAUUUCUAAUUACCUGUACCCGAAACCGACACAGGUGGGUAGGUAGAGUAUACUAAGGGGCGCGAGAUAACUCUCUCUAAGGAACUCGGCAAAAUGACUCCGUAACUUCGGGAGAAGGAGUGCCUUAUUUAUAAGGUUGCAAUAACAAGAUCCAAGCAACUGUUUAUCAAAAACACAGGUCUCCGCUAAGUCGUAAGACGAUGUAUGGGGGCUGACGCCUGCCCAGUGCCAGAAGGUUAAAGAAGUUGGUUAGUGUAUGCGAAGCUGAUGACUGAAGCCCUGGUGAACGGCGGCCGUAACAAUAACGGUCCUAAGGUAGCGAAAUUCCUUGUCGGGUAAGUUCCGACCCGCACGAAAGGCGUAAUGAUUUGGAUACUGUCUCGGAGAGAGGCUCGGUGAAAUAGACUUGUCUGUGAAGAUGCGGACUACCUGCACCAGGACAGAAAGACCCUAUGAAGCUUUACUGUAACUUGAAAUUGGAAUUGGACUUUGCUUGCGCAGUAUAGGUGGGAAGCGUUGAAGAUAUUCUUGCGGGAGUAUUGGAGCUAUCAGUGAGAUACCACUCUUGUAAUGUUAGAUUUCUAACUUUGAACCAUAAUCUGGUCAAAGAACAGUUUCAGGUGGGCAGUUUGACUGGGGCGGUCGCCUCCCAAAUGGUAACGGAGGCGUACAAAGGUUUCCUCUGAACGGAUAGAAAUCGUAUCUAGAGUGUAAAGGCAUAAGGAAGCUUGACUGUGAGACCUACAAGUCGAGCAGGGACGAAAGUCGGUCUUAGUGAUCUGACGGUACUGAGUGGAAAGGCCGUCACUCAACGGAUAAAAGUUACUCUAAGGAUAACAGGCUGAUCUCCCCCAAGAGUUCACAUCGACGGGGAGGUUUGGCACCUCGAUGUCGGCUCAUCGCAUCCUGGGGCGGUAGUACGUCCCAAGGGUUGGGCUGUUCGCCCAUGAAAGCGGUACGCGAGCUGGGUUCAGAACGUCGUGAGACAGUUCGGUCCAUAUCCGGUGUAGGCGUUAGAAUAUUGAGAGGAGCCUUCUUUAGUACGAGAGGACCGAGAAGGACACACCGCUGGUGUACCAGUUAUCGUGCCAACGGUAAACGCUGGGUAGCUAUGUGUGGAGUGGAUAACCGCUGAAAGCAUCUAAGUGGGAAGCCCACCUCAAGAUGAG
rnacentral:rRNA from 1 species